rnacentral:rRNA from 1 species
AAUGAACGCUGGCGGCAUGCCUAACACAUGCAAGUCGAGCGGAUGGACGAGAAUCUUUCUUCUCUGCUGUUAGCGACGGACGGGUGAGUAACACGUGGCUACCCUACAUAUAAGACUGGCGUAACUUCGGGGGCCCUGAGCUCAUACAGGAUAAUAUUGUGAACGGCAUGGAUCUUCAGACCACGCCCUUCUUGCUGUCACUUAUAGAUGGUUCCGAGCUGCAUUAGCUAGUUGGUAAGGUAACGGCUUACCAAGGCUACGAUGCAUAGCCGACCUGAGAGGGUGAUCAGCCACACUGGAACUGAGACACGGUCCAGACUCCUACGGGAGGCAGCAGUAGGGAAUCUUCCGCAAUGGGCGAAAGCCUGACGGAGCAACGCCGCGUGAGUGAUGAAGGUCUUCGGAUCGUAAAACUCUGUUAUUAGGGAAGAACAUAUGUGUAAGUAACUGUGCACAUCUUGACGGUACCUAAUCAGAAAGCCACGGCUAACUACGUG